GCCAUGAUGGCUCCGUCUCAUUCUGUCACAGAUCGUCUUUAUAAGCCAGACAUUUCAGUGCUAUAAACUGAUGAGACACCCACAGAAUUUAACAGAAAUCGAAGGUGUGGAAAGGAUCUCAGACAAGCGAAUCCAUCACUGUUACUGUACAGAUAAGAAAUGGAGGCCAAAUAGGAUUAGCAACUUGCUCAGGACUCCACAGGCAUAGCCUGCUGUUGCAGAGAGGAAGGAGAAGUGGUAGCAAGCAGAAAGAGCAGCAACUGGAUGGCACAGAAUGAGUUCUGACGUUUACAUCAGAAGAUGGCCCUGAACCGGAGCCAAAGCUGGCCGAGGAGCUGGGGGAGAUUCUGAGACUCACACUUUCAUUUGUGAAGUGAGAUGCUGACUCUAUUGUUGGUUUUGUUUGGGGGUUUGAUGCUGAAAUAAAGCAAUACACACGAGGAAAUUUACUGGCAUUGUAUUAAAAAACAAAGUUAAUGUAUGAUGAUGCCGUAGAGUGAUUCAUGAAUGGCAUUAUGAAUAUUUUAAAAACACAAAAGGAAUUAAAAGAGUAUACUUGGAUGUUAAUGAAAAUAAAAUUUCAUUGAGAACAAGAAUCUUGGUAAACAUCAGUUGAUAUUAAAAAUUUAUUGCUUUUAA
rnacentral:lncRNA from 1 species